AUUUGGCAUGCUUUCUUUGGCACACCAGGUUCUUGCAAUGACAUGAAUGUGUUCCAAUGUUCUCCUUUGUUUAAGAGACUCUGUGAUGGGGAAGCUCCACCGUGCAACUAUACCAUCAAAGGACACAACUACACCACGGGGUACUACCUUGUCGAUGGUAUCUAUUCUCAGUGGGCGGCAUUUGUGAAGGCCAUAUCUGAUCCCCAAGGCAACUAA
rnacentral:rRNA from 1 species